CCUCGAAUCAGGUGGGACUGCCCGCUGAACUUARGCAUAUCAAUAAGCGGAGGAAAAGAAACUAACAAGGAUUCCCCUAGUAACGGCGAGUGAAGCGGGAUGAGCUCAAAUUUAAAAUCUGAUAGUCUUUGGCUGUCCGAGUUGUAAUCUAGAGAAGUGUUUUCCGCGUUGGACCAUGUACAAGUUUCCUGGAACGGAACGUCAUAGAGGGUGAGAAUCCCGUCCUUGACAUGGACUACCAGUGCUUUGUGAUACACUCUCAACGGGUCGAGUUGUUUGGGAUUGCAGCUCAAAAUGGGAGGUAAAUUCCUUCUAAAGCUAAGUAUUGGCGAGAGACCGAUAGCGAACAAGUACCGUGAGGGAAAGAUGAAAAGCACUUUGGAAAGAGAGUUAAACAGUACGUGAAAUUGUUAAAAGGGAAACGAUUGAAGUCAGUCGCGUUUACUUGGACUCAGCCUUACCUCGGUUUGGUGCAUUUCCUUGUGAACGGGCCAGCGUCAAUGUUGUCCGUUGGAAAAGGGUUGGAGAAAUGUGGCUCUUUCGGGAGUGUUCUAGUCUCUGAUAGUAUACAACGGACGUUAGUAUGGGUACUGC
rnacentral:rRNA from 1 species